GAGACAGCAGUAGCCGCGGGAAUACGUAGGUCCCGAGCGUUGUCCGGAUUUAUUGGGCGUAAAGCGAGCGCAGGCGGUUUGAUAAGUCUGAAGUUAAAGGCUGUGGCUCAACCAUAGUUCGCUUUGGAAACUGUCAAACUUGAGUGCAGAAGGGGAGAGUGGAAUUCCAUGUGUAGCGGUGAAAUGCGUAGAUAUAUGGAGGAACACCGGUGGCGAAAGCGGCUCUCUGGUCUGUAACUGACGCUGAGGCUCGAAAGCGUGGGGAGCGAACAGGAUUAGAUACCCGUGUAGUCCCUGUCUCUUAUACC
rnacentral:rRNA from 1 species